rnacentral:sRNA from 1 species
CGAAAGCGAGAAAGCGUUGCCAACGGCAACGACCCGAAGGGCGAAGCGCGCAGCGCUGAGUAAUCCUUCCCCCGUCAUCC